CUGGCGGGAGGAAGGCGAACAGAUGUGCAGGUGCAGCGCAGCAGAGCUGUGCUCGCGGCACACGAUACCAGACAUCCAAACAGAUUCUUCUCUUCCUACGCGCCACUGACGCAUCCAAACAAGCGCAUGCUACUGAACCUCCGGGACUUGGACAGACCACGCCACCCGUCGCCGCCCGGCGGAGACGGCUCGUCCCGGACACCCUCGUCACGGGAGAAACCGCGCUCGUCGGGCGACGAGCGCGCGGCGAACCGGCAGCUCUGGCUCCGAGGAUGGUCGUAG
rnacentral:misc_RNA from 1 species